GCGGGUGCUUUCACAUGCAAGUCGGACGGCAGCACAGAGAAGCUUGCUUCUUGGGUGGCGAGUGGCGAACGGGUGAGUAACAUAUCGGAACGUACCGAGCAGUGGGGGAUAACUAAUCGAAAGAUUAGCUAAUACCGCAUAUCUUCUGAGGAAGAAAGCAGGGGACCAUUUGGCCUUGCGCUGUUUGAGCGGCCGGUAUCUGAUUAGCUAGUUGGUGGGGUAAAGGCCUACCAAGGCGACGAUCAGUAGCGGGUCUGAGAGGAUGAUCCGCCACACUGGGACUGAGACACGGCCCAGACUCCUACGGGAGGCAGCAGUGGGGAAUUUUGGACAAUGGGCGCAAGCCUGAUCCAGCCAUGCCGCGUGUCUGAAGAAGGCCUUCGGGUUGUAAAGGACUUUUGUCAGGGAAGAAAAGGGCGGGGUUAAUACCCCUGUCUGAUGACGGUACCUGAAGAAUAAGCACCGGCUAACUACGUGCCAGCAGCCGCGGUAAU
rnacentral:rRNA from 1 species